rnacentral:rRNA from 1 species
AUUGAACGCUGGCGGCAUGCCUUACACAUGCAAGUCGAACGGUAACAGGUCUUCGGAUGCUGACGAGUGGCGAACGGGUGAGUAAUACAUCGGAACGUGCCUAGUAGUGGGGGAUAACUACUCGAAAGAGUGGCUAAUACCGCAUGAGAUCUACGGAUGAAAGCAGGGGAUCGCAAGACCUUGUGCUACUAGAGCGGCCGAUGGCUGAUUAGGUAGUUGGUGGGAUAAAAGCUUACCAAGCCGACGAUCUGUAGCUGGUCUGAUAGGACGAUCAGCCACACUGGGACUGAGACACGGCCAAGACUCAUACGGGAGUCAGCAGUGGGGAAUUUUGUACAAUGGGCGCAAGCCUGAUGCAGCAAUGCCGCGUGCAGGAUGAAGGCCUUCGGUUUGUAAACUGCUUUUGUACGGAACGAAAAGCCCUGGGUUAAUACCCUGGGGUCAUGACGGUACCGUAAGAAUAAGCACCGGCUAACUACGUGCCAGCCGCCGCGGUAAGAC